rnacentral:rRNA from 1 species
AUGAACGCUAGCUACAGGCUUAACACAUGCAAGUCGAGGGGCAGCAUGAGCUUAGCUUGCUAAGCUUGAUGGCGACCGGCGCACGGGUGAGUAACACGUAUCCAACCUCCCGCUUACUCAGGAAUAGCCUUUCGAAAGAAAGAUUAAUGCCUGAUGGUAUCUUAAGCACACAUGUAAUUAAGAUUAAAGAUUUAUCGGUAAGCGAUGGGGAUGCGUUCCAUUAGGUAGUAGGCGGGGUAACGGCCCACCUAGCCGACGAUGGAUAGGGGUUCUGAGAGGAAGGUCCCCCACAUUGGAACUGAGACACGGUCCAAACUCCUACGGGAGGCAGCAGUGAGGAAUAUUGGUCAAUGGGCGCGAGCCUGAACCAGCCAAGUAGCGUGAAGGAUGAAGGUCCUACGGAUUGUAAACUUCUUUUAUACGGGAAUAAAGUGGCCUACGUGUAGGCUUUUGCAUGUACCGUAUGAAUAAGCAUCGGCUAACUCCGUGCCAGCAGCCGCGGUAAUACGGAGGAUGCGAGCGUUAUCCGGAUUUAUUGGGUUUAAAGGGAGCGCAGACGGGGGAUUAAGUCAGUUGUGAAAGUUUGCGGCUCAACCGUAAAAUUGCAGUUGAUACUGGUUCCCUUGAGUGCAGUUGAGGCAGGCGGAAUUCGUGGUGUAGCGGUGAAAUGCAUAGAUAUCACGAAGAACCCCGAUUGCGAAGGCAGCCUGCUAAGCUGUAACUGACGUUGAGGCUCGAAAGUGUGGGUAUCAAACAGGAUUAGAUACCCUGGUAGUCCACACGGUAAACGAUGGAUACUCGCUGUUGGCGAUAUACUGUCAGCGGCCAAGCGAAAGCAUUAAGUAUCCCACCUGGGGAGUACGCCGGCAACGGUGAAACUCAAAGGAAUUGACGGGGGCCCGCACAAGCGGUGGAGCAUGUGGUUUAAUUCGAAGCAACGCGAAGAACCUUACCAGGUCUUGACAUCGAUCUAAAGGCUCCAGAGAUGGAGAGAUAGCUAUAGAGAAGACAGGUGGUGCAUGGUUGUCGUCAGCUCGUGCCGUGAGGUGUCGGCUUAAGUGCCAUAACGAGCGCAACCCUCGUGGCCAGUUACUAUCAGGUAAGGCUGAGGACUCUGGCCAGACUGCCAUCGUAAGAUGCGAGGAAGGUGGGGAUGACGUCAAAUCAGCACGGCCCUUACGUCCGGGGCUACACACGUGUUACAAUGGGAGGUACAGAAGGCAGCUACCCGGCGACGGGAUGCCAAUCCCGAAAGCCUCUCUCAGUUCGGACUGGAGUCUGCAACCCGACUCCACGAAGCUGGAUUCGCUAGUAAUCGCGCAUCAGCCACGGCGCGGUGAAUACGUUCCCGGGCCUUGUACACACCGCCCGUCAAGCCAUGAAAGCCGGGGGUACCUGAAGUGCGUAACCGCAAGGAGCGCCCUAGGGUAAAACCGGUAAUUGGGGCU